CCUUAUGCACUUAUGGAUACGUUCAUAAUCAAUUAUAUCUCCAAAUAAUUUUUAAUAUUUUAUUUCAUCCCAAGCUAUAUUUCAGUAGGCUUUGGCCUCCACUAAAAGUACUGGUUAGGUCCAACCAUUAACAUGACAAAUUUUAGCACAUAUGACUAACGAAUGACCAGGUCGGAGUGUAGCUCGACUAACCUGACCACCUAUUAGAAAGACAUAGCUAAAUUAUCAUAUUCUGAAUGAUAAUUCCAAUAAUUAAAUGAGCACCAGGCAUGUGGCGCCAUCUAAUGAUCAUCAGACUGUUGGACC
rnacentral:lncRNA from 1 species